rnacentral:rRNA from 1 species
UACGUAGGGACCAAGCGUUGUUCGGAUUUACUGGGCGUAAAGGGCGCGUAGGCGGCUUGACAAGUCACUUGUGAAAUCUCCGGGCUUAACUCGGAACGGCCAAGUGAAACUGUCAUGCUAGAGUGCAGAAGGGGCAAUCGGAAUUCUUGGUGUAGCGGUGAAAUGCGUAGAUAUCGUCAAGAACACCGAUAGCGAAGGCAGCUUACUGGGCUGUAACUGACGCUGAUGCACGAAAGUGUGGGGAUCAAACAGG